GCCAGGCAUGGUAGUGCAUGCCUGUAAUCCCAGCUACUAGGGAGGCUGAGGCAGAAGAAUCACUUGAACCCAGGGGGUGGAGGUCGCAGUGAGCUGAGACUGAACCACUGCACUCCAGCCUGGGCAAGACAGUGAGACUCUGUCUCAA
rnacentral:sRNA from 1 species